rnacentral:lncRNA from 7 species
GAUACAUGUUACAUAUUUAAAAGGCAGCUGGAGACCAGGGGAAAAGUUUUGGCACAGGAGGGCAUAAACACCCAUGCAGAAAGAUAUGAAAACUUUUUUUUUUUUUCCCCUGAAAUAUGGCUUUGAAACUGCAUGUUGCAAAAAUACGUGCUCGUGGGGUAAGGAGGCAUUAAAAGCUUAUGGAAAUGACAUGACUGAGUGAAGAAGUAUGUUUAUAUUUAUUGAUAGAAUGGGCAAAAAUGUUGUUACUGAGGGAUGAAAUGUGAGAACAGCCGUUUGUAUGCAUGUGCAUGCAAGAAUAAUGUUGGAAUACUUCCUAGAGGCAAAGCAGCUGGAACACCAUCCUGCACACUCUUGCCCCAGUGCUUUUCCCACUGAUCAAAUGGUUAUGUCUGAUCAAAUCAAAACAUCUCCACUUGAACAAGGGAUACAACCAAUCUUAUCCAGAGCCUAGCUUUUUCAGUCUUGCAUCUACUGCUUUUUGCCACAUCUCUGAUCAGAACACAGUAAUGCACAGUAUACGCUAUCCAAAUGACAUACUACAUACAAUGGCACGGACCAGAGUUGGUAGCUCUGCUGAUGCCCUGACCUUGCUACUGGUCAGGAAGAAGUGCCUCAGUGCUACCUUCUAUGUCUUGAUUUAAAGCAUGACUGGAAAAGACACAGUGCUGAAUACACGGUAUGAAAUGAAAGACCAUGUACUCGCUGGAUUAGCUACCCCGAAGAAUUUCAAGGAGCCCGCUAAUGGGACACAAUCUUCCUUCUCCAGUUACGUAUAAAAAGCUUUAUACAUUUUUCAUGGGGAGUGCCAGAUAAAUACCUGUGUCUAACUUGUAGUUCUAGAUUUCCUCAGAAGACACAUGGCUUUACAAUCAAUCCGAGCUGUAGGUGGCAGGGAUUCUUCAUUUAGCUGUGAACACACAGAACGUAAACCAGAGCUACAGGUGGAAACUCAGACUUCCUGCAAUGCUGCCAACACUGUGAACAGUCAAUCUUAGACAGAGUCAUGCUGUGGCAGGUAUGUGUUUCAGGAUGUCCCACAAGCCCACGUGGAAGGCAAAUCAAUUGCUCCAGGAAAUAAAGGAUGAUACGAGGCUGCUAAGUGCAAAAGGAAAUGGAUCAACUGAAUGCAAGACCAAGAUACUCAGAGGAUGGAAACAAGGAUCUCUUAGAGUUUGUUUUGAAGGGGACAGCCAAUGCAGAACACCUCAAGGAUCACAUGCAAGUCAUGAGCUGUGGAUCUUUCACAGCUGACUUUUACAUACACCACAGGAUCUGGCAGCAGUCUACCUUUUUCCAAGGAAGGAGCUCUGUUCUUCUUAGGUAGGAUCUCUUAUCAUGCUUCAUGGGAUAAGUUGGCUAAGACAGUCCACUGAGGAAAUAUGCAUCAUGAAACCUGUCCUUUGGCACUCCCAGAAGGUCUCUCUGGAGUUCAGCACAACUAAUCCAGGCAUUAUCGAAAGGCUUUCAUCACAUCUGGGAGAAGAGCUAUAUCUACUGCAGAGAAAAACAACAGUGAAGACAUUUACAUUGCUCAGGAAGCCACAAUGAAAAUAACAGAGGAGAAAAUUCAAGAGAUAUGGAAACAAUUGCACUCAGGGAUGCCAGGAACUCAAGACUUGGUGAAAACUGUUGUAAUUCUGCCUCAAAUAAAGAAGGAGAUGAGGAUGGAGACAGUGGCAACAAGAUCACCUACACAGUCAGCCUGUUUCCCAACCACAUGUACACAUCCUCCAGCUACCUGAAGCCCUGCUACACAGUACAGCUGAAGAAUAUAUGGCUGGCUUUUGGAAAAAUACAAAUUACUUUCCUUGAAGUAGCU